UGGUGUCAGCCGCCGCGGUAAAACCAGCACCUCAAGUGGUCAGGAUGAUUAUUGGGCCUAAAGCAUCCGUAGCCGGCUCUGUAAGUUUUCGGUUAAAUCCAUACGCUCAACGUAUGGGCUGCCGAAAAUACUGCAGAGAUAGGGAGUGGGAGAGGUAGACGGUACUCGGUAGGAAGGGGUAAAAUCCUUUGAUCUAUCGAUGACCACCUGUGGCGAAGGCGGUCUACCAGAACACGUUCGACGGUGAGGGAUGAAAGCUGGGGGAGCAAACCGGAUUAGAUACCCGGGUAGUCCCAGCUGUAAACGAUGCAGACUCGAUGAUGCAUUGGCAUAUAGCCAGUGCAGUGUCGCAGGGAAGCCGUUAAGUCUGCCGCCUGGGAAGUACGUACGCAAGUAUGAAACUUAAAGGAAUUGGCGGGGGAGCACCACAAGGGGUGAAGCCUGCGGUUC
rnacentral:rRNA from 1 species